rnacentral:rRNA from 1 species
AGAGUUUGAUCAUGGCUCAGGAUAAACGCUGGCGGCGUGCCUUAAACAUGCAAGUCGAACGGUCCCGCAAGGGACAGUGGCGAACGGCUGAGUAACACGUGAGUAACCUACCUUCGAGCGGGGCAUAACUCCGGGAAACCGGGGCUAAUUCCGCAUGAGGUCUUCGGGUGCGAUUCCCGGAGACGAAAGUCGAAAGGCGCUCGGAGAUGGGCUCGCGUCCGAUUAGCUAGUUGGUGGGGUAAAGGCCUACCAAGGCGAUGAUCGGUAGCUGGUCUGAGAGGAUGAUCAGCCAGACUGGGACUGCGACACGGCCCAGACUCCUACGGGAGGCAGCAGUUAGGAAUUUUGGGCAAUGGGCGAAAGCCUGACCCAGCAACGCCGCGUGAAGGACGAAGCCCCUCGGGGUGUAAACUUCUUUUCUGUGGGAAGAGGAAGGACGGUACCACAGGAAUAAGCCUCGGCUAACUACGUGCCAGCAGCCGCGGUAAGACGUAGGAGGCGAGCGUUGUCCGGAUUUACUGGGCGUAAAGGGUGUGUAGGCGGCACGGCAAGUUGGCUGUGAAAGCCCCCGGCUUAACUGGGGAGGGUCAGUCAAUACUGUCGAGCUUGAGGCCGGUAGGGGGAGACGGAAUUCCCGGUGUAGUGGUGAAAUGCGUAGAUAUCGGGAGGAACACCGAUGGCGAAAGCGGUCUCCUGGGCCGGUCCUGACGCUGAGGCGCGAAAGCGCGGGGAGCGAACCGGAUUAGAUACCCGGGUAGUCCGCGCCCUAAACGAUGGAUACUUGGUCUGGUGGGUAUCGACCCCUGCCGGGCCGAAGCUAACGCAUUAAGUAUCCCGCCUGGGGAGUACGGCCGCAAGGUUGAAACUCAAAGGAAUUGACGG